GACGUAGGGCGCGAGCGUUAAUCGGAAUUACUGGGCGUAAAGUGUGCGCAGGCGGCCGCGCAAGUCGAGUGUGAAAUCCCCGAGCUUAACUUGGGAAUUGCGCUCGAAACUACGUGGCUGGAGUGUGGCAGAGGAAGGUGGAAUUCCACGUGUAGCGGUGAAAUGCGUAGAGAUGUGGAGGAACACCGAUGGCGAAGGCAGCCUUCUGGGCCAACACUGACGCUCAUGCACGAAAGCGUGGGGAGCAAACAGG
rnacentral:rRNA from 1 species